CGGCGGCGAGGCUGCGUCGUCCUGAACCGAGGCCAUGGAUCGGCGAGGCGGAGCCGGGACGGCACCCUCCAGACAGGCGCCUCAUCACUCGCCGGCGUCCAGGAGAGAUCGGAAGCCCAGCAUGUUCGAGAAGGAGGCAAGGAAAGAACUGAUGGGGAAAAAGUAGGCAUGCCAAGUUCCCACACCUAGGAGAAAAGAGGAGGAAGCCACUAGGAACAAGUCUAGCUGGUUCCAGACACUAUGCUGUAAUAGUUUGAGCUACCAAGAGUAAAUAAAAAUGUCUGUAUUUUGA